UACGGAGGGAGCAAGCGUUAUUCGGAAUUAUUAGGCGUAAAGGGCGUGUAGGCGGCCAGAUAAGUCAGAGGUGAAAGCCCGGGGCUCAACCCCGGAAGUGCCUUUGAAACUAUCUGGCUUGAGUGCGGGAGAGGAAAGCGGAAUUCCCAGUGUAGAGGUGAAAUUCGUAGAUAUUGGGAGGAACACCGGUGGCGAAGGCGGCUUUCUGGACCGACACUGACGCUGAGGCGCGAAAGCGUGGGGAGCAAACAGG
rnacentral:rRNA from 1 species